GUCAUUAGUUGCUACGAAAGGGCGACUCUAAUGAGACUGCCGGUGACAAACCGGAGGAAGUGGGGAUGACGUCAAGUCCUCAUGGCCCUUAUGGUAGGGCUUCACACGUCAUACAAUGGUCGGGACAGAGGGUCGCCAACCCGCAGGGGGAGCCAAUCCCAGAAACCCGAUCGUAGUCCGGAUUGUAGUCUGCAACUCGACUACAUGAAGUCGGAAUCGCUAGUAAUCGCGGAUCAGCAUGUCGCGGUGAAUACGUUCCCGGGUCUU
rnacentral:rRNA from 1 species